GAUCUGGCUCAGGAUGAACGCUGGCGGCGUGCCUAACACAUGCAAGUCGAACGAGGUAUUUUGAUUGAAGUUUUCGGAUGGAUUUCAAGAUACCGAGUGGCGGACGGGUGAGUAACGCGUGGGUAACCUGCCUCAUACAGGGGGAUAACGGUUAGAAAUGACUGCUAAUACCGCAUAAGCGCACAGUACCGCAUGGUACGGUGUGAAAAACUCCGGUGGUAUGAGAUGGACCCGCGUCUGAUUAG
rnacentral:rRNA from 1 species